GACGAACGCUGGCGGCGUGCCUAAUACAUGCAAGUCGAGCGAACACAAGAGGAGCUUGCUCCUCUUGGUUAGCGGCGGACGGGUGAGUAACACGUGGGCAACCUGCCUGUAAGACUGGGAUAACUUCGGGAAACCGGAGCUAAUACCGGAUAAUCCUUUUCCUCUCAUGAGGAAAAGCUGAAAGUCGGUUUACGCUGACACUUACAGAUGGGCCCGCAGCGCCUUAGCUAGUUGGUGAGGUAACGGCUCACCAAGGCGACGAUGCGGGGCCGACCUGAGAGGGUGAUCGGCCACACUGGGACUGAGACACGGCCCAGACUCCUACGGGAGGCAGCAGUAGGGAAUCUUCCGCAAUGGACGAAAGUCUGACGGAGCAACGCCGCGUGAGCGAUGAAGGCCUUCGGGUCGUAAAGCUCUGUUGUUAGGGAAGAACAAGUAUCGGAGUAACUGCCGGUACCUUGACGGUACCUAACCAGAAAGCCACGGCUAACUACGUGCCAGCCGCCGCCGUAAUAC
rnacentral:rRNA from 1 species